CGCGUAGGCGGGGGACCAAGUCCGGGGUGAAAUCUUUCGGCUCAACCGGAAAACUGCCUUGGAUACUGGUCUUCUUGAGGGAGGUAGGGGCAGGUGGAACUUCCGGUGGAGCGGUGAAAUGCGUUGAUAUCGGAAGGAACGCCGGUGGCGAAAGCGACCUGCUGGAUCUCUUCUGACGCUGAGGCGCGAAAGCUAGGGGAGCGAAG
rnacentral:rRNA from 1 species